rnacentral:rRNA from 1 species
UACACUCCUGCGGGAGGCAGCAGUGGGGAAUUUUGGACAAUGGGCGAAAGCCUGAUCCAGCAAUGCCGCGUGUGUGAAGAAGGCCUUCGGGUUGUAAAGCACUUUUGUCCGGAAAGAAAUCCUUGGCUCUAAUACAGUCGGGGGAUGACGGUACCGGAAGAAUAAGCACCGGCUAACUACGUGCCAGCAGCCGCGGUAAUACGUAGGGUGCGAGCGUUAAUCGGAAUUACUGGGCGUAAAGCGUGCGCAGGCGGUUUGCUAAGACCGAUGUGAAAUCCCCGGGCUCAACCUGGGAACUGCAUUGGUGACUGGCAGGCUAGAGUAUGGCAGAGGGGGGUAGAAUUCCACGUGUAGCAGUGAAAUGCGUAGAGAUGUGGAGGAAUACCGAUGGCGAAGGCAGCCCCCUGGGCCAAUACUGACGCUCAUGCACGAAAGCGUGGGGAGCAAACAGGAUUAGAAACCCGAGUAGUCCC